rnacentral:rRNA from 1 species
GACGAACGCUGGCGGCGUGCUUAACACGUGCAAGUCGAACGAAAAGGCCCUGCUUUUGUGGGGUGCUCGAGUGGCGAACGGGUGAGUAACACGUGAGUAACCUGCCCUUGACUUUGGGAUAACUUCAGGAAACUGGGGCUAAUACCGGAUAGGAGCUCCUGCUGCAUGGUGGGGGUUGGAAAGUUUCGGCGGUUGGGGAUGGACUCGCGGCUUAUCAGCUUGUUGGUGGGGUAGUGGCUUACCAAGGCUUUGACGGGUAGCCGGCCUGAGAGGGUGACCGGCCACAUUGGGACUGAGAUACGGCCCAGACUCCUACGGGAGGCAGCAGUGGGGAAUAUUGCACAAUGGGCGGAAGCCUGAUGCAGCAACGCCGCGUGCGGGAUGACGGCCUUCGGGUUGUAAACCGCUUUCGCCUGUGACGAAGCGUGAGUGACGGUAAUGGGUAAAGAAGCACCGGCUAACUACGUG